UUUCCAACUGCCAACAUGCACAGCAGGGGGUCUCCAGGAGGUUUUUAUCCUUAGGAGAAGGCUGGUGUUUCUGUUCCCUGGAACACCGAAAAACCCAGUGGCAGGUGCAGGAGGAGAACAGCUUCACUGGGAAGAAAGGGCCUCAAAGCAACAUUCUGAGAAUUCAGCGUUCUAGUAUCUCAGGAGCAGUCGAACACACCUGGCAUCCUGGUAUUGAUUCAGCUGCAUUUUCAUGCACUGUCACUGGCUGGCUGAGCAGUCAAACAGCAUGACACAAAACCCAAGGAGAACCAUCACUGGGUGAUCUGAUGACAAUCAAAAGCUUGGCCAGCCAGUGACUUUGGUUGAAAGAUAGAGAAAAUAUGUCCUCCUUUUCUUAUAUUAUCUUGUGUCCUAUAACUAUUUCUUAGCGCAGGGGUCCCCAAACUUUUUACACAGGGGGCCAGUUCACUGUCCCUCAGACCAUUGGAGGGCUGGACUAUAAAAACCUAACCCUGACCCUAACCCUAAUCCUAACCAGGCAGCAGUAUACACAGUGCAGAAUCCCCUCCCCCAGAUCCCCACUCACCAUGCUGCCGUCUUCCAUUGUGCAGCCACAUAAUCCUUUGCAGUCGCCUUGUUCUAAGGCACCACACAAAGGAUUAUGUCACUGGAAGUAGUACUGUCUUUGCAGCACCACCACAGACAAUGCUCCUUUCACUGACCACCAAUGAAAGAGGCACUACUUCCAGAAGUGUGGUGGGGGCCGGAUGCAUGGCCUCAGGGGGCUGCAUGUGACCCAUGGGCUGUAGUUUGGGGACUCUUGUCUUAGUGGAUCUGUUAGUAUAGGAUGUGCAGCUAGGUGGGACAGUGUAUAGAGCACCCAGAGUCAUAAAGACUGAGUUCAAAUCUAGCCUCAGACACUUUCUAGCUGAGUGGCCACGGGCAAGUCACUUAACCCUGUUUGUCUCAGUUUCCCCAUUUGCAAAAUGAUCUGGAGAAGGAAAUGGCAAGCCAUCCCACUAUUUUGCCAAAAAAAUCUCGAAUGGGAUCACAAAGAGUCCAAAACUCAGGCAUGACUGAGUAACAACUCAACAAAAAUACUUUAAGGGGGCUCAGUGGAUAGAAAACCAGACAUAGAGAUGGAAGGUCCUGGGUUCCAAUCUGAUUUCAUACAUUUUCUACCUGUGUGACCCCAGGCAAGUCAUUUUGCCUCAAUUGCCUAGUCCUUACAUGUCUUCCGCCUUGGAACUGACAUUUGACAUGAAUUCUAAGACAGAAGGUAAGGAUCUUUUUUUUCCCCCCUAAACCCUUAUCUUCUGCCUUAGAAUCAAUACUAUGUAUUAGUUCCAAGGCUAAAGAGUAAGGGCUAGGCAAUGGGGGUUAAGUGACUUGCCCAGGGUCACAAAGAUAGGAAGUGUCUGAGGAAGAUAAGGGUUUUUAAAAAGUACUCUAAAGAUUUGGUAGAUGAUGCACUGGUCUUGUACUCCACUCAUAACCAAAGAGGUAGCACUGAAUUUGAAGUCUGAAGACUCAAGUUUGAAUCCUGCCUCACACUUACUACCUGUGUGACCAUUAGGUACAUCAGUUUAAAAUCUCUGUGUCUCAGUUUCAUGUAAAAUGAAAGGGUUGAACUAGAAGACCUCUGGGGACCAUUCCAGCUCUAAAUCUAUAAUCCUGCACUCUGGCUCUGAAUCUAUGGUCCUAUAACUAAGGUACUGAAGGUUCUAUUUCAAGAAGCCUAUGCAGGGGUACCAUGGUAAAUAUUUAACAACUAGCUCUCAGGUGGGGGGGGGUGAGGAUUUAAAAACCACCUUCCUACCAAAACGUCCAGUAAUCAAGAAGCUGUAUUCUCCUGGAGAAACCAAGUCAUAUCCAUACUUAACAUUGUAUAUGAAAUCAGAAAACAUUAAAAAGUUGCAAUUAAA